AUCACGUUCCCAGAGGAGGAGGGGAUUGACAGCGGUGGUGAUGUCACUAAGGGAACUGCCUUGUGCAUGAGGGACCUCCCUCCUCCUCGGCUCAUGCUCAGGAGAACCUGAUGUGCUGAACAACCGGGUCCUGUUCUCACCCCGCCAUGGGCACCAGGCUCCUCUGCUGCGUGGCCCUCUGUCUCCUGGGGGCAGGUCACACAGGUGCUGGCGUCCUCCAGUCCCCCCGGCACAAGGUCACAAUGCGGGGCUGGAACGUGACCUUCAGGUGUGAUCCAAUUUCUGGUCACGAAGACCUUUAUUGGUACCGACAGGCCCGGGGGCAAGGCCCGGAGUUUCUCAUUUCCUUCCAAAACCAAAGGGAAUUGGACUCCUCAGGGAUGCCCAAGAAUGAUCGGUUCCAGGCAAAGAGGCCUGAGGGCACCUACUCCACUCUGCAGAUCCAGCGAGCAGAGCCGGGGGACUCGGCUGUGUACCUCUGUGCCAGCAGCCUUACCACAGUGGGGCACAGCCACCUCCUUCCUCUUCACCAACCUCAGACUUCUCUCUCCCGGCUGCACCCGGAGACCCUAAACAACUGUCUGUGCCCUUCGUUCCCCAAUAGAAAGAAGUAGAUUCGCACAUCAGCUAUCAGCUGGCCUGAGCGUAGAAAAAGACACUGGAUAAACCGCAUGAAAUGAAUC